AUUGAACGCUGGCGGCAUGCCUUACACAUGCAAGUCGAACGGUAACAGGUCUUCGGAUGCUGACGAGUGGCGCACGGGUGAGUAAUACAUCGGAACGUGCCCGAUCGUGGGGGAUAACGAAGCGAAAGCUUUGCUAAUACCGCAUAAGAUCUACGGAUGAAAGCAGGGGACCGCAAGGCCUUGCGCGACCGGAGCGGCCGAUGGCAGAUUAGGUAGUUGGUGGGAUAAAAGCUUACCAAGCCGACGAUCUGUAGCUGGUCUGAGAGGACGACCAGCCACACUGGGACUGAGACACGGCCCAGACUCCUACGGGAGGCAGCAGUGGGGAAUUUUGGACAAUGGGCGAAAGCCUGAUCCAGCCAUGCCGCGUGCAGGAUGAAGGCCUUCGGGUUGUAAACUGCUUUUGUACGGAACGAAAAGACUCUGGUUAAUACCUGGGGUCCAUGACGGUACCGGAAGAAUAAGCACCGGCUAACUACGUG
rnacentral:rRNA from 1 species